GAGUUCAAGAGUACGUGAAACUGUGUGGUGGUAAACGGAGGGGUUCUCGAAGUUUCUGUGGGGGACUCAGCCUUGAGGCGCGGCGGUCUGGUUGUAUCCAAUCAGCAAUGAUGGUGCGGCUUUUCCGGCUGUGUCUACGGGUGCAUUUCCCCUGCAGUUUACGACAGGAACCGUUACGAUCCAACCUAAGGCUCUGGGUGAAGUUACAGUCCUAGAUUGUAGCCCUGGAUGUUCUGGCUUGGAACGUGACGGGUAGUUGAGGAGACUUGUAUAGCAAGCAGUGCUCUGCUGCGGUUUCCAUCUCUCUGUCGAGUAGGUCGGUGGCCCCUCCGACCCGUCUUGAAACACGGAG
rnacentral:rRNA from 1 species